UACGUAGGGUGCGAGCGUUAAUCGGAAUUACUGGGCGUAAAGCGUGCGCAGGCGGUUCGCCAAGUCAGGUGUGAAAUCCCCGGGCUUAACCUGGGAAUUGCGCUUGAAACUAGCGGGCUUGAGUGUGGCAGAGGGGGGUGGAAUUCCACGUGUAGCAGUGAAAUGCGCAGAUAUCGGGAGGAACGCCGGUGGCGAAAGCGAUUCUCUGGCCCGUCCCUGACACUGAGGCGCGAGAGCUAGGGGAGCAAACAGG
rnacentral:rRNA from 1 species